GGGAUCUUUGCAUUAUUUUUUGGGCCUUGAGAUGUCAGUUGUCCCUGGUGGGAUGCUCCUUAAUCAGCAUAAGUAUAUUUCUGAUUUGCUGCAUCGGUUUGACUGUGUCAAUGUCUCUUCUGUUGUGUCUCCUUUGAACAUCAAUGUCAAACUUCAUGCUGCUUCUGGUGACAUCUUGCCCUCUCCUGACCAGUACAAGAGUCUAGUUGGUAAGAUGUUGUUCCUGACUCAUACUAGGCCUGACAUAUAUUUUGCAGUCCAGCAUCUGAGUCAAUUCCUCAAAUGCCCCAGACUUUCCCAUAUGACUGCUGCCCUGCAUGUUCUGAGAUACCUUAAGGGCACUCCCUCCUUGGGUUUAUUUUACUCUGCUCAUGCUGAUUUUUCUGUUACUGGGGAGAUACCUUAAGGGCACUCCCUCCUUGGGUUUGUUUUAUUCUUCUCAUGCUGAUUUCUCUGUUAAUGGGUAUUCUGAAAGUGACUAGGCUGCAUGCCCUGAUACUAGGCGAUCUGUUACUGGAUUUUGUGUGCUUUUGGGUGGCUGUUUGAUCAGUUAGAAAUUGAAGAAACAACCUGUUGUUUCUCUGUCCUCUGCUGAGGCAGAAUAUAGAGCCCUUAGCAAGAUUGUUGCUUAGUUGACUUGGCUUUCUCGUUUGUUGGUUGAUCUUGGGGUAUCUGUUUAUUCUCCUAUUUCUGUAUAUCGUGAUAGUCAGGCUGCUGUUCACAUUGCUAACAAUCCUGUUUU
rnacentral:lncRNA from 1 species